UACAGAGGUCUCAAGCGUUGUUCGGAUUCAUUGGGCGUAAAGGGUGCGUAGGUGGCGUCGUAAGUCAGGUGUGAAAUCUCGGGGCUUAACUCCGAAACUGCAUUUGAUACUGCGGUGCUUGAGGACUGGAGAGGAGACUGGAAUUUACGGUGUAGCAGUGAAAUGCGUAGAGAUCAUGAGGAAGACCAGUGGCGAAAGGCGGGUCGUCGUGGACAGUUCCUGACACUGAGACACGAAGGCCAGGGGAGCAAACGGGG
rnacentral:rRNA from 1 species